rnacentral:lncRNA from 1 species
UUACAAUCGUGUUCAAACAAGUGAUGCCUGAAUUCUCAAUAAAUAGUAAAUAGAAUCAUAUAGCAGAACCUUUUUCAGAGUCUCUUAAGGAGAUUCUGAAAAUGUGGUGCCAAUUUAUUUUACACUAGGAUACCUAGGAUAAUGUAAUCUCUGAAUUCUUUUUACGUUAAAGCUGAGAUGAUAUUUUAUUGUAGCACAUCUGAGGAAGUGUGUGUGUUUUGUCCACAUUGGAUUUGUAAAAUGGACAUUAAAAUAGACUCUGCCAUCUUUGGACAUUUUUAGCAGAAUCUUUAUUCCGACCAUUGCUAUAGUUAAGUUGAAGGACUCCUUAUGGUUUGUUUCUGCCUGGAUAUAGCAUCAACUGAAAGCUGAAUAUAACUGGUGACACGUUCAUAUCUGUGAUGCUCACUCUGAUUUUGAGACGCAUGCCUGGGUGGAAGUCUGAGUGCAGUUUAAGUACUUUUACAUUUCAUUACAUGCUCCUUGAGUGUUGUCUGCUUCUCUUUGAACACCGUGGGCUUUUAGACCAGUUCCUUUAUAUUUCUUUCCAAGUGACAAAACCACUGCCAGAGGUUGGUGAUGAAUAUAUCUUGUCUAGACAAUGUUAGCUGUUUAUGUGGUGUCAGGCUGAUGUUCAGGAUGAUGAUAUCUACAUAGACUUAACUGCUAAGACAUCUAAGUACCGUGCGUAUCUGAGCAGUUGGCUUGAUUCCUCCUGGCUUCCUGAAAACCAACUUCCAGGAAGGCUUGCAACACCAAAUGGAAAACGUUUGUGUAAAGGAAAAAAAGGUAAGGAUCCUCGGUUCUCAGACAGAAGUAUGAGUGGAAGUAACGCUGAGUUAAAAACAGGAAGGGGUGGGGGGAAUCCAACCACAUUUGAGCCAGGAUCUGGACAUUUCAGACGAGAGCUGACUCCCGAGAAAAGAACUAAGGGGUGAAGUUUUUUUUGCUUUUUUGGAGCCUGCAGUUUCGGCCAAAGAUUUGUUCUUCAAAUAAUGCGGUCUAUGUUAUGUCCGGUGAAGAAACAGCUAAUAAGCCUGUCCUAGAUCGAGCACAUGGAAUGAGUCAUUUAGUAAGCAAAAACAGGCAAGUAAAACUGAUAUGUUGUCAUAGGUAGGGGUUAACCACCAGCUGUAUUUGCCAGAAGUAAAAAUGCUGCAGCCCCACCCUCAGCCAGCUCCACACAUACUGUUCUGACAAAACAAACAGCAAUAUGCUCUGUAAGUUUUUUCUUUAAAAUGUACAAAAUUCUGCAAGUAAGAUAGCUACUUACUCAAAAUUACUGACUAGAUAGCUGUGUCCAGUUGAAGGUACCUGGCAAAAUUAGCGGUGUCUGUUACUGAAGCAAACAUAUUUGAUUUAUCAGGUAAUAGAUCAGGACUUGAUUAAUUUGAAUUCUUACUGAUCGAAGGUAAACUUUUAAGUGAAUGAAGAAUCUUUUUUGUUCAAUGUUUGGUGUCUCUACCACUUCUGGAUAUGAAGAAGACUGAGAUUUCUGGUGGGAUUACAACAGUCCUUCUCCUAACAGCAGGAGAGGGGAAGAUGGUCUUUUUUCUGUUAUUCUUUGUGAAAGACCACUCAUCUUCCUGUGUAUAAAAACAUGAGUUUGGUCUGUGUGUUGGGUAAGUGCAUUUAACAAAGUUCUUGUGACAUAUGUUAAGCUGAUGGUCAAGGUUGGGUGGCUGCAUUUUGUAUAGGAAAGCUUGCAAGCAUCUCAGAUAUACAUAUCUGUAUUUGAAUACAUUAAUCAUGCUUUGUUAUCUGUCAGUUGUAGAGAAUGAAGCCCUGAGCAACCUGAUCAGUGUUGGCUCUACUUUGAGCAGGAGCUUGGAUGAGAUAACUUGCUGAGGUCCCUUCUGGUCUAGUUUUGUAUAUUUUGAAUAUUGUAUGAUUUGGUGAUUACAAACCUGGUCAUAAAGUCUAGUCUUUACUAAAAAUGAAGUGGCUUACAUUUUCGUAAUCCGUGGGAAGUUUUUUCUUUUCACAGGAGUGUGACUCUGGGGAGCUUCUCAAGCUUUGUAGGACAUGACUGGAAAACUGAAAUGUUUUGGAAAUGGCCUGGGCUAUGUUACCUACUGUGCUUUUUCCAACCGUAAUUUCUAUGAAUCUGUAAUUUUGAGGUUGAUUUCUUGUUGCCCAAUUUCACAGUUACUUAAUUCCAGUAUCAGACAUACUUUAAGAGACCACAUUUAGUCAUGGUAAGAGUGUGUGGGUUGUUUUUUUUAAGUCCUUCUUUAGAUUGUCAGUGCUUAAUGUAUUCUUUCCUAUUUUGAUGCUGCAAAUAAUGUUCGUAGUCUGUGAGAAAGGAAAAGUUUGAUAUCCCAUCUUAAAAUAGCCUGAUUUAAAAAAUGCUUCUACUAAAGCUGUUGCAGUUCACUGUCAAACCUUAGGCUAGUUAUGCAGCUUAUUAAUACCAGCAUUGUGUUUCCGUCACAAGAAUAGGGAGUAGCAUUGAGAAAUCGUAUAUUUGGGGAUACUUUGAGCAUUGUUAUCAGCUAAGCUUGCAAUGAAUUAUUCAAAUAUUUUUAGAGCUAAAUGAACAUGUACUUUCAAGGUUGAAAGACUCCUAAAAGUUGGCUUGAUUAAUUUUUUUCAGUGUGGUUCUCAAAGUAUUAGAAUGGUCCUGUUUCCUACUUCUUGCAGAAAGCACACUUUUAUGCAAGAGGUAGCAUUUUUGGAAAGACAGUAUCUCCCAGUGAUAGCUCUGGAAAAAUCAGAGAAUCAGAAUAUCCUAAGUGGGAAGGGACCCAAAAGGAUCAUUGAGUCCAACUCCUGGCUCCACACAGAACCACCCAAAUAUCAGACCAUAUGUCUGAUAUUAUCAUAUGGAGCAUUGUCCAAAUGCUUCUCAAACUCUUGACAGGUUUGAUGUCACUUCCCUGGGGAGCCUGUUCCAGUGCCUGACCAUCCUCUCAGUUAAGAAUCUUUUCUUAAUAUCCAACCUGAACCUCUUUGACGUAGAUUCAUGCCGUUCCCUCACGUCCUGUCACUGGUCACUAGAGAGAAGAGAUCUGUGCCUGCCCUUCUGCUUCCCCUCGUGAGCUGUGGGCCGACAUGAGGUCUCCCCUCAGUCUCCUCCAGGCUGAACAAAGUGACUUGCCCUCUAGACCCUUCAUCAUCUUUGUAGCCCUCCUCUGGGCACCCUCUAAUAGUUGUAUCUCCAUAUAUUGUGGUGCCCAAGACUGCACAUGGUGCUCAAGGUGAGGCCACACCAGUGCAGAGCAGAGUGGGACAGUCGCUUCCCUCGAUGGGUUAGCAAUGCUGUGCUUGAUGCACCCCAGGAUAUGGUUGUCUCUUUUAGCUGACAGGGCACAAUCACUCAUAUUCAACUUUCCAUUGACCAAAACCCCCAGGUCCCUUUCUGCUGAGCUGCUCUCCAGUCUCUCAUCCCACAGUUUGUACAUACAAUCCAGGGUUGCCCCAUCCCAGGUGCAGGAUCCAGCACUGGCUCUUGUUAAACUUCAUAUCUUUGGUGAUUGCCUAGCUACCCAACCACCUUCUCCCUCAAAGCCAAACAAAGACCUUUGCAGUCCUUAAAAAGACUAGUAUUUCUUAUAACCAGAAAUGAAUAUUGGACCAUAUUCUAUUUUAAUUUAACCAGAUCUAUCCACAUUUUAAGUGUUGAUUUAAUAAAUUCAUCAAUAAGAACUUGAAAAUAAAUUUG